rnacentral:rRNA from 1 species
GCAGUCGAGCGGACAGAAGGGAGCUUGCUCCCGGAUGUUAGCGGCGGCACGGGUGAGUAACACGUGGGUAACCUGCCUGUAAGACUGGGAUAACUCCGGGAAACCGGAGCUAAUACCGGAUAGUUCCUUGAACCGCAUGGUUCAAGGAUGAAAGACGGUUUCGGCUGUCACUUACAGAUGGACCCGCGGCGCAUUAGCUAGUUGGUGGGGUAAUGGCUCACCAAGGCGACGAUGCGUAGCCGACCUGAGAGGGUGAUCGGCCACACUGGGACUGAGACACGGCCCAGACUCCUACGGGAGGCAGCAGUAGGGAAUCUUCCGCAAUGGACGAAAGUCUGACGGAGCAACGCCGCGUGAGUGAUGAAGGUUUUCGGAUCGUAAAGCUCUGUUGUUAGGGAAGAACAAGUGCGAGAGUAACUGCUCGCACCUUGACGGUACCUAACCAGAAAGCCACGGCUAACUACGUGCCAGCAGCCGCGGUAAUACGUAGGUGGCAAGCGUUGUCCGGAAUUAUUGGGCGUAAAGGGCUCGCAGGCGGUUUCUUAAGUCUGAUGUGAAAGCCCCCGGCUCAACCGGGGAGGGUCAUUGGAAACUGGGAAACUUGAGUGCAGAAGAGGAGAGUGGAAUUCCACGUGUAGCGGUGAAAUGCGUAGAGAUGUGGAGGAACACCGGUGGCGAAGGCGACUCUCUGGUCUGUAACUGACGCUGAGGAGCGAAAGCGUGGGGA